CCUACGGGUGGCAGCAGUGAGGAAUAUUGGUCAAUGGUCGCGAGACUGAACCAGCCAAGUCGCGUGAAGGAUGACUGCCCUACGGAUUGUAAACUUCUUUUAUCAAGGAAUAAAGUGAGGCACGUGUCCCUGUUUGUGUGUACUUGAUGAAUAAGGAUCGGCUAACUCCGUGCCAGCAGCCGCGGUAAUACGGAGGAUCCGAGCGUUAUCCGGAUUUAUUGGGUUUAAAGGGAGCGUAGACGGUUUGUUAAGUCAGUUGUGAAAGUUUGCGGCUCAACCGUCAAAUUGCAAUUGAGACUGGCAGUCUUGAGUACAGGUGAGGUAGGCGGAAUGCGUGGUGUAGCGGUGAAAUGCUUAGAUAUCACGCAGAACUCCGAUUGCGAAGGCAGCAUACCAA
rnacentral:rRNA from 1 species